rnacentral:rRNA from 1 species
GACGAACGCUGGCGGCGUGCUUAACACAUGCAAGUCGAACGGACAGGCCCUGCUUUUGUGGGUUGCUCGAGUGGCGAACGGGUGAGUAACACGUGAGUAACCUGCCCUUGACUUUGGGAUAACUUCAGGAAACUGGGGCUAAUACCGGAUAGGAGCUCCUGCUGCAUGGUGGGGGUUGGAAAGUUUCGGCGGUUGGGGAUGGAUUCGCGGCUUAUCCGCUUGUUGGUGGGGUAGUGGCUUACCAAGGCUUUGACGGGUAGCCGGCAUGAGAGGGUGACCGGACACAUUGGGACUGAGAGACGGCGCAGACGCCUACGGGAGGCAGCAGUGGGGAAUAUGGCACAAUGGGCGGAAGCCUGAUGCAGCAACGCCGCGUGCGGGAUGACGGCCUUCGGGUUGUAAACCGCUUUCGCAUGUGACGAAGCGUGAGUGACGGUAAUGGGUAAAGAAGCACCGGCUAACUACGUG